AAUAUCUGGGACAGUGUCUUCUCAGAAACAACCAGCUGAGAGGGCUGCAAGUGACGAGAAAGAUUCUGUUUCGAAUAUAGCCACAGAAAUAAAGGAUGGACAACAAUCUGGGAGACAUAAUUUUGCAAAGCACAUUUAAUGUCAUGUUCAGCCAAGAUAGAAAAGAACUUCUCUUCCCCGAAUAAAUCAGCGGGGGACUCUUUGAAGCUGCACAUUCUGAUUCAGUAGGCCUGAGAUUCUUCAUUUGUAGUAAGUUCUCAGGUGACACUGAUGCUGCUGGUCUUCGACAUGAACUUUGCAGUAAGAUUAUAGACUUCCACACAUUGAAAUUGGGAAGAAGAAAGGUUGGAGAGCCAUUAAAGACAUAAGGAGUCAGGGGACAGCAUAAUUUUGCUUUAAUUCUACAGCAUGUUUUCACCAAGGGUGGAAGGAGAAAGAGAUGAAGUAUAGAUUUUACAGACGUCACAUCGUAUUGCUAAAAACAGAUGGGAGAAAUGAUUGUAAAAACCCAUAAAUGCUGUAGAACAAGAACUAAGGAGACCAUUGAUGUAGCAAUGACUUUCCUCAAGGAAGAGGAUUGUCAGGCAGGAAGGAGGGAAAAUAAGAAGUUAUUUAUGUAAUUUUGGGAUUUCUUCUAAGGAAACCUGAGUUCAGUUGCAUAUUCGAACAUUUUCCUAAAAGAAGCUUUGAUUUUGGCUGCUUUAGGAACCAGUGGAAGCAGGAAGGAGUACUAGAACUGGGACAAGUCACAGUGACUCAUUACUCCUCUUUGUUACUGUUGGGCAUCAGAGAUAUACAUUUUGUUUAUAUUAGUUAUUCAAAUGAGAUAAACAUGAAUAUGCAUAUAUUGGCUUUGCUUUUCAAUUAGCUAACUUUUGGAUAAAAAUAGCAAUUUAAUGAAAAUGCUUUAGAGAAUAACAUGAUAUUUUAAACCAGAC
rnacentral:lncRNA from 1 species